AGUGAACGCUGGCGGCGUGCUUAACUCAUGCAAGUCGAACGAGAACGGAAUAUAGCUUGCUAUAUUUGUCAGCUAAGUGGCGCACGGGUGAGUAAUGUAUAGAUAACCUGCCCUUAAGAAAGGAAUAACAGUUGGAAACGACUGCUAAUGCCCUAUAUGCCUUUAAUACAUAGUAUGCAAGGGAAACGCUUUAGUGCUUAAGGAUGGGUCUGUAUGGUAUCAGCUUGUUGGUGAGGUAAUGGCUCACCAAGGCUAUGACGCCUAACUGGUUUGAGAGGAGGAUCAGUCACACUGGAACUGAGACACGGUCCAGACUCCUACGGGAGGCAGCAGUGGGGAAUAUUGCACAAUGGACGAAAGUCUGAUGCAGCAACGCCGCGUGGAGGAUGACACAUUUCGGUGCGUAAACUCCUUUUAUAUAGGAAGAUAAUGACGGUACUAUAUGAAUAAGCACCGGCUAACUCCGUGCCAGCAGCCGCCGUAA
rnacentral:rRNA from 1 species